AAGCAACACAUUGAUACCUGCAUGUAUGGCACAACUGAAGCAACAGCAACAUUUCCCUGUCCUGUGGGAAUGGCCUCGCGGACUAGUAAGGCCACUUUCUUGCUCCUAGCACCUUGCAUCUGAUGCUUCGUUCUCAAGGAAAAUCUCUUAAGACUCUCUUCUGGCUGUGGCCAGUUUCUGGAAUCCCUGAUUGGUUUAGUCAGAGCUCGUGGAAAUCACUAUUACUAAUAGGCAUGGGCAAGUACAUGUUGUGUCAUCUGGGACUCUAGCAUUGGAAUUCAUGGGGCAUCUUGUAACAGGAGGCCUGGACUGAGUACUGUAACUGAACUCUGAGGUUCUAACACGCUCCCAACAAGAGUAAUGAUGGAACUGUAGGGUUUAAUCCAAAUGCAAAAUGCCCAUGUGAGGAAUACAGAAAUUAAUCCAGUCUUUUAGAAAACUGACAUCAGCUUGAGUUUAAGUUGAGGAACAAUUUGUGCAGGACCCAGAGGGCUUCCUGACUAAGUGCUGUCAUCUGACUGUGCUAUAGGAGAUCAUCAUCUCAGUUCCUGUUCUUCCAGGUGGUUUGAAGAAGUCCGACUGUUUGAGAGAACCUUCUGGUUCCCUAAUUCUGCCCCUACUUAAGGCUAAAGCCAUGUUGCAAUCUGAAACAUGAGCUUGAGGUCACUGGAUCCUGUUGUUGAUUGGUCUUCCUGGCACAUUGGUUAAAUUUCUGCAUGGCAAUGAAGUUUGGCUGGUCCCCCACAAAGGAAAAGAGUCAGAGAAUGUAGACAGGCUGACAGUUUGUCAGUGUCAUCAGUUUGGAAAGUUGUCCUUGGCAGUGUUCUGAAGAAGUGUCCUUCCCAAUCCUUGAACUGUUCUAACCUUUGCCUGAAGGCUAAACUCUAAAAGACAGGCCCCAACUAGGGGAUUAUCAUGUUGACUGCCAAAUCUUUCUCUGUAUUCACAAGGCCCAGAAAAUCUGGUGUGCUUUGUAAGCCCCUCCUGAAUCUGCACGAAGUCUGAGUCCAUUUCAGUCUUCUGGACAGAGACAAAGGAAGGAAAAGUAUAAUAUGACUGCUAACUUGCUCAGCACCCUUUACCUACCCACCCUGCAUCCCAACAUGUCAUGUGGAAAAGUCCUCAUUUUUUAUAUUGAGAAGGGUUUUUUGUUUGUUUGAUUAAUUUUUGAUUUUUCAGUGAAGUCAUUUUCUUUGUGUCAAUACCUUUUUCUCUACACUUACCAGGCUGUUGUAAGAAAUAAACUGAGAAACAUUUGAUCUCUCCUCUUCCUCCACCAAGUGCUGACCCUCAGGCUGCACCACCAAUAAAUAGGGACCUGAAGAAAGGAAUGGGAGUUGUGUUUAUUUAAAAAAAGAUUAGACAGAAGGAAUACGUUUGGUGGAUGUGUAGUCAGGUAUGUGGAAGAGGGUGCCUCUGAGGGCCCAUGUUGAGGCAUCCCUUCCCUCUGAGAGGCAUAGGGAAGGGAGUUGAAAGGGUAGUAGGGACAGAGAAAGGGAGAGAGAGAGAGAGAGAGAGAGAGAGAGAGAGAGAGAGAGAGAGAGAGAGAAGAGGAGUAGAGGCUGGCCAUGAGCAUGCAGAGAAAGAAGGGAGGGGAAUGAGGAGAGAGGGGGGAAGGGGAGAGAGGACAGAAGGAGCAAGAAGGCAAGAACAAGAGAGAGAGGGGGAGGAGGAGGGGGCAAACAGUCCUUUUUAUUGUGAGUCAGGCACACCUGGCUGUUGCCAGGUAACUUGGGGGCAGAGUUUAAACAAAAUGCUGACAAUGGGGACUGGGGUCAGUUGGACAUAAAGGACUGUGGAGACUGCUGGAGACCAGAGUACUACCAUCCUGCAGUUAGUGAGAGAUAAAGCUGCAACAUUUCCAGCACUUCUCCAACCGCAACUCAGCUCAGCGGUAGCUGUUUUUCAGAAACUUCUGCUUUCCUCAACAGAAGGAAGUGAAAUAGAGAUGUUACUUUCUGGGUGGUUUAGCAAAACCGCUCUCUGUAUACCAUGUGCAACCUCCACACAACGACUUCCACAAUUGUGUCAAACCCAUCAAGCUACUCAACACACACACCAACAUACCACACACACACACACAUACACUCUCGUGCACACACACACACACACACACACACACACACAGAGAGACACACACACUCACAUUGAAAGCUAUGACAAAAGGAAUCAAUCUCAAGAAAAAUCAAACAUGUUUUGCCAUUGGGAUGGUAUUUGUUCAAAUGCUGUCUGUUAUGUAAGAGGUUGUGGGCCAAGGUUGGGGGAGGGACAGAUGGGGAAAUUCCAAUGUGUGCAAUUUUUGUGGAAAGGAUGACCGUAGGAGUAAUGCAGUCUCAGGAUUUCAUUGUGGGAACUCGGGAGUACUGAGGGUGGGAAUGAAGCCAGAGAAAGAAAGUAGAAUUACUUUUGACAUUCUUCACAGGUUUGUUUAAGGGGCACCUCAUUGAGAGUCUGCUCAGAGCACUUGCGUGUGGUUUGCAGAGAGCGAUGGAGAUCAACUUUGCCCAUCCCUGAUCAAAAUGUAGAGAAACCUGCUAAGGUGUCUGGAGGACGGGGAAUCAAACAUAAUUGAAGAAAUACCUGGGGAUUGGAUGGGAGAGGGACUCAUGAGUUCCCACCCCUCACUGCAGAGCUAAUGGCAGUGGUGCCAGGAGGAGGAGGGUCAGUUUUCUUCAGAGAUGCAGUUCUGAGGAAGAUGGGGAACUGGGAGGGCAUAGGAGACAGAAAUAGGAGAGUUGGAGGGGAAGACUAUGAUCCAAAUGCAUUGUAUCUAAUAUAUGACAUUUUCAAAGAAUAAGUUUAAGUAUAUUUUUAGAAAACUAUGCUGCUGCUGUAACAACCUGUGGUACAAAUUCAUGACACUGAUACAGGCCUGAAGAGGCCCGUGGUUCUGACUUCAUUGAAAAGGCAAUUUUAUUUUGCAGUUAUGUUAUCUCCUAUGACAAAACAAAAAGUAGUAAAUAAUAAUACCUUAUAAAGAAAUAUGAAUACAACUAGACAUAACCAACGCCAUCUUAAUUGUCCUUGGUUAUAGGACAACCCAAUGUGGUUAUAAAACCACCCUGGCUUAACGUUCCUGAUACAGCUGCCAACCAUUGAGCUGUUUGUUCUUGAUUUCUGCUGAAGUGGGUUGGGUACUUUCCAGUAAAAACCGCCUAAACCCGUCCUUACUCAUAUUUGCCUAGCACGUAGCAGAGAAGCCUUCCUGUUUGCACACCAUGCUGCUGGCUCAUAGCCCUGUGAUCAGACAUAUUUCCUCCUGUGGCAGCUGCUUCUUAUUCACCAGAACUCCAUGUUUCCUGAAACAGGCUUUCUCCAUAUUGUGGAAAACUUGCAUGAUUGAAUCUUCCUACUUCUGAAGAUGAAAUGAGUAGUUCUUUGCACACAAAGUUUGGAGGGUGCUUCUCAUUCUUCUCUUCUUCUCCUUUUUCUCAUUUACCUGAGAAGAAUUUUAAAUGGGUCAAAGGAAUGAGUGUCAGUCACCAAACUGACAAGUUGCCUUGAAUACCUGUAACUUUGUUAGAAUAAUAAAUUCUGGAGAAAACUA